UUACUUACCUGGCAGGGAAGAUACCUUGAUCUCGAAGGUGGUUUUUCCCAGGGUGAGGCUUAUCCAUUGCACUCCAGAUUUGCUGACCCCUUCACGAAUGUGGGAAACUUGACUGCAUAAUUUGUGGUAGUUGGGGACUGCCUUCACAGUUCCCUU